rnacentral:rRNA from 1 species
GCCUAAAAAGCUAGCCCUCAGUCAACAUAAUAACCACUGUUUUUAAGUUGGCAGAACUUUUAUAAUGAAGACAAACCAUUUUACCAUUUGAGUAUAGGAGAUAGAAAAGAGUCAUGGAGCUACACAAGGAGUACCGCAAGGGAAAGCUGAAAGAGAACUGAAACAACCCACUCAAGGCAGUUGAAGCAGAGCUUAACCCUCGUACCUUUUGCAUCAUGAUUUAGCUAGAAGCUUAUGAGCAAAGCGAGCUUUAAGUUCAAAACCCCGAAACCGAGCGAGCUACCUCGGGGCCGCCUAAUAGGGCAAACCCGUCCCUGUGGCAAAAGGGUGGGAGGACCCCCAGGUAGAGGUGACAGACCUACCGAGCGAGGUGAUAGCUGGUUCCCUGGGAAAAGAAUAGAAGUUCAGCCUUUAUUUUUUUAUUAUCAAGUAAGAACACUCAAAACAAGAGCAAUAAAAAUAUAAAGAGUAAUUCAAUAAAGGUACAGCUUUAUUGAACAAAGAUACAACUUUUAUGGAGGGUAAGGAUUAAAAGAGAAAGCAAGUUCACGAGUGGGCCUAAAAGCAGCCAUCUCAACAAAAAGCGUUAAAGCUUAAGAACACAAACCGCUAAAUUUGUACAACACAUUCCCACACCCCUUUCUAUACCAGGAUCGUCUAUGUGAAACAUAGUCAAAAUAAUGCUAAUAUGAGUAAUAAGGGGAUUGCCCCCCUCGAGUGCACCAGUGUAAGUCAGAUUAGACUCACUCCUGACCAUUAACGCCCCCAAACAGAGGGUAUUGAUUCACUUUUCAUGACCGAGAAACCCUAUCAGAUUAAAGCGUUACCCCUACACAGGCGUGCCCCUCGAAAGACAAAAAGAGUAAGAAGGAACUCGGCAAACACAGACCUCGCCUGUUUACCAAAAACAUCGCCUCUUGCAAAUUAGUAUAAGAGGUCCCGCCUGCCCUGUGACAAAUGUUUAACGGCCGCGGUAUUUUGACCGUGCAAAGGUAGCGUAAUAACUUGUCUUUUAAAUAGAGACCUGUAUGAAUGGCAUAACGAGGGUCAACCUGUCUCCUUACUUCAGUCGAUGAAAUUGAUCCCCCCGUGCAGAAGCGGGGCUAGUCCCAUAAGACGAGAAGACCCUAUGGAGCUUUUAGACGCCAGGGCACCCCAAGCCAAACCGCCCCCCUUAAAGGAAAAAGCAGAAUGCCCCUGCCCCAGUGUCUUUGGUUGGGGCGACUACGGAGUAAAACACAACCCCCGUGUGGAAAUAAACCACUAUUUUGAACCAAGGGCGUCAGCUCAAAGAACCAGAAAUUCUGACCACGCAGAUCCGGCAAAGCCGAUCAACGGACUUAGUUACCCUAGGGAUAACAGCGCAAUCCCCCUUUAGAGCCCCUAUCGACAGGGGGGUUUACGACCUCGAUGUUGGAUCAGGACAUCCUAAUGGUGCAGCCGCUAUUAAGGGUUC